CGUGAGGGAAAGGUGAAAAGAACCCCGGGAGGGGAGUGAAAUAGAACCUGAAACCCUGCACUUACAAGCUGUGGGAGCACAUUACUUGUGUGACCGCGUACUUUUUGUAGAACGGGCCAACGAGUUACGUUAAGUAGCAAGGUUAAGCACUUAAGGUGUGGAGCCGUAGCGAAAGCGAGUCUUAAAUGGGCGAUUAAGUUACUUGGCGUAGACCCGAAACCGGGCGACCUAUCCAUGAGCAGGUUGAAGCGAAAGUAAAAUUUCGUGGAGGACCGAACCCACGAGCGUUGAAAAGCUCGGGGAUGACUUGUGGAUAGCGGUGAAAUUCCAAUCGAGCCCGGAGAUAGCUGGUUCUCCCCGAAAUAGCUUUAGGGCUAGCCUCAAGCGUAGAGAAACGGAGGUAGAGCACUGAAUGUCCUAGGGGGUAUUGCACUUACCGAAGACUAUCAAACUCCGAAUGCCGUUUUCUUUUACUUGGGAGUCAGACUGUGGGUGAUAAGAUUCAUAGUCAAAAGGGCAACAGCCCAGAUCGUCAGCUAAGGUCCCUAAAUGUACGUUAAGUGGUAAAGGAUGUGGGAUUGCACAGACAACCAGGAUGUUGGCUUAGAAGCAGCCACUCAUUUAAAGAGUGCGUAAUAGCUCACUGGUCGAGUGAUCCUGCGCCGAAAAUUUCCGGGGCUAAAACGUACUACCGAAGCUACGGCAUCAUUUAUGAUGGGUAGGGGAGCUUCGUAUGCAGGCUGAAGCAUGACCGUAAGGACAUGUGGACAGUAUACGAGUGAGAAUGUUGGCAUGAGUAGCGAGACGUGGGUGAGAAUCCCACGGGCCGUAAACCCAAGGUUUCCAGGGGAAGGUUCGUCCGCCCUGGGUUAGUCGGGACCUAAGCCGAGGCCGAAAGGCGUAGGUGAUGGACAACAGGUUGAUAUUCCUGUACCGCCAAUAAGCGUUUGAGAGAUGGAGUGACACAGUAGGAUAAGCUAACCGUACUGUUGGUUAUGUACGGCUAAGCAUUGAGGCAGUCUAAAUAGGCAAAUCCGUUUAGACAAUGCUAGGAUGUGAUGGGGAAGCCCUUCGGGGCGAAGUAGCUGAUUUCACACUGUCAAGAAAAGCUUCUAUCGAGUUUAAAGGCGCCCGUACCGUAAACCGACACAGGUGGGUGAGGAGAGUAUCCUAAGGCCAGCGAGAGAACUAUUGUUAAGGAACUCGGCAAAAUGACCCCGUAACUUAGGGAGAAGGGGUGCCUGUCUAUGACAGGCCGCAGAGAAUAGGCCCAAGCGACUGUUUACCAAAAACACAGGUUUCUGCUAAGUCGCAAGACGAUGUAUAGGAGCUGACGCCUGCCCGGUGCUGGAAGGUUAAGGGGAUCUGUUAGAGCAAUCGAAGCAGUGAACUUAAGCCCCAGUAAACGGCGGCCGUAACUAUAACGGUCCUAAGGUAGCGAAAUUCCUUGUCGGGUAAGUUCCGACCCGCACGAAAGGCGUAACGAUUUGGGCACUGUCUCAACAAUAGACUCGGUGAAAUUGUAAUCCCGGUGAAGAUGCCGGGUACCUGCGACAGGACGGAAAGACCCCAUGGAGCUUUACUGUAGCUUGACGUUGGGUCUUGGUACUACAUGUACAGGAUAGGUGGGAGACUAUGAAGCAUGGACGCCAGUCUGUGUGGAGUCAUCCUUGGGAUACCACCCUUGUAGUACUGGGAUCCUAACCAUAGGCCUUGAAUCAGGUCUUGGAACACCGUCAGGUGGGCAGUUUGACUGGGGCGGUCGCCUCCUAAAAAGUAACGGAGGCGCUCAAAGGUUUCCUCAGCACGGUCGGAAAUCGUGCGAAGAGUGUAAAGGCAAAAGGAAGCUUGAUUGCAAGACAUACAGGUCGAGCAAGGACGAAAGUCGGACUUAGUGAUCCGGUGGUACCGCAUGGAAGGGCCAUCGCUCAACGGAUAAAAGCUACCCUGGGGAUAACAGGCUUAUCUCCCCCAAGAGUCCACAUCGACGGGGAGGUUUGGCACCUCGAUGUCGGCUCAUCGCAUCCUGGGGCUGUAGUAGGUCCCAAGGGUUGGGCUGUUCGCCCAUUAAAGUGGUACGCGAGCUGGGUUCAGAACGUCGUGAGACAGUUCGGUCCCUAUCCGUCGCAGGCGUAGGAAAUUUGAGAAGACCUGUCCUUAGUACGAGAGGACCGGGAUGGACGUACCUCUGGUGUACCAGUUGUUCUGCCAAGGGCAUGGCUGGGUAGCUAUGUACGGAAUGGAUAAGCGCUGAAAGCAUCUAAGCGCGAAGCCAACUUCAAGAUAAGAUUUCCCACCGUAAGGGUAAGACCCCAGGAAGACUACCUGGUUGA
rnacentral:rRNA from 1 species